AGUGAACGCUGGCGGUAGGCCUAAUACAUGCAAGUCGAACGGCAGCACAGUAAGAGCUUGCCCUUAAGGGUGGCGACUGGCGGACGGGUGAGGCAUGGAUCGGAAACCUAUAUUACUGGGGGGAUAACGUAGAGAAACUUACGCUAACACCUCAUAUUAUGUACGGGAGAAAUCAGGGGAUCAUCGGACCUUUCGUGUUUCUAAGAGCUGGUGCCGGGUUACAUUAGCUAGUUGGUAAGGUAACGGCAUACCAAGGAAACGAUGCAUAGCCGACCUGAGAGGAUGAUCGGCCACACUGGAACUGAGACACGGUCCAGACUCCUACGGGAGGCAGCAGUAGGGAAUAUUGCACAAUGGGCGCAAGCCUGAUGCAGCCAUGCCGCGUGGGUGAAGAAGGCCUUCGGGUUGUAAAACCCUGUUGUUAGGAAAGAAAAUCAGCAGGUGUAUACCCCGAUGUUCUGACGGUACCCAAAGAGUAAGCACCGGCUAACUUCGUG
rnacentral:rRNA from 1 species